GUGCUCACUUCGGCAGCACAUCUACUGAAAUUGGAAGGGCACAGAGAAGAUUAGCAUGGCCCCUACGCAAGGAUGACACACACAUUUUGGAAGCAUUUAAAAUAAAA